AGUAUAGCAGCGGCCCAAAUUGCAAUUCCGGUGUCUCUAGUUCCUAGAAGCGAAUGAAGAAUUAACAAGUGUAGUGAAGAAGACUCAAAAACAGUCUUUGGGAGUUUCGUUCUGAAGAAGAAUCAGCACCUCUACUUUGCAGCUCAUCGAUUAUUUCGUCUUCAGGUAACCUGGGACUACACAAUCGUUAGCUGAAACACUGAUGGAACUUCCUCCUACUUCAUCUUUUGGAUUGUCAUCAGAGUCCUCAGAGCAAAGUGGGAAGCUGAUGGCAAACACAAAUGCGAAAGCACUAGCAACUUUUUCCCUGCAAAGCCCAAAUUCUUCACAGGGACCAGUGGCAAUUCUUUGGGACAUUGAGAACUGUCCUGUUCCAAGUGAUGUACGGCCUGAGGAUGUGGCUGGCAACAUCAGAAUGACUCUGCGGGUCCAUCCUGUGAUCAAAGGAGCAGUUACACUGUUUUCUGCCUAUGGAGAUUUUAAUGCUUUCCCAAGACGAUUAAGGGAGGGAUGCCAGAGAACUGGUGUUAAACUUGUAGAUGUCCCCAAUGGCAGAAAGGAUGCAGCUGACAAGGCCAUCUUGGUUGACAUGUUUCUUUUUGCUCUUGACAAUCCUCCACCCUCGUCCAUUAUGCUAAUAUCAGGAGAUGUUGAUUUUGCUCCUGCACUUCACAUUCUUGGUCAACGUGGAUACACUGUGAUCCUUGUUAUUCCUUCAGGGGUUGGUGUUUCGUCUGCUCUAUGUAAUGCAGGGAGGUUUGUAUGGGACUGGCCAAGUGUCGUUCGAGGCGAAGGCUUUGUGCCUCCUGCGAAGGCCUUAAUGCCUUGUCGUGGUGGUGUCUCAGACAUUACUGGGAUUCUAAUGGGGUGUUGCCAGAUUAAUGACAACUCAGAUGGUCAGCAUGAAGAUGAAGCAAUACUGUAUAGGGGCCUCUCACAGAGCUACUAUAAUGCAAGGGAAUUCUCAAUGAUAUCACAUUCUCUGGCUGAAUAUAAUACCACUGCAAUUUCCAUGCCAUGUUAUCCUACGGGUAUGAGAACUCAUAGUCUUCCUUCUGGUUUAAAUGAAGUUUCAGCUGGAGGUCCAUCUUCACAUGACCAGAGUGACUUGACAUGGGUGCAGCCUGGGGAUAUAAAUGGUUUGAAGGGGCAGCUGGUGAAGUUGCUUGAAUUAUCUGGCGGCUGCUUGCCUCUUACACGUGUUCCUGCAGAAUACCAGAAAAUUUAUGGGAGGCCUCUUUAUGUUUCAGAAUAUGGUGCAGCUAAGCUCGUGAAUCUUCUCAAGAAGAUGAGUGAUGCAAUUUCAGUCGGGGGGAAAGGCCAAAAGAAGUUUGUCUACCUCCGUAAUUCAUGUGCUGUACCAAGUGCUCCCCCCAUAACUAUAUUAAAAAGAGAUAACAAAGGAAAAGGAACACAAGAGGGAAAUGCCGAUAUUGUGACUGGGGUUGGAUCUUCAGAUGAGUUCUCUGAUGAUGAAAGAGGACCCAUAAAAGAGCAUGGGGGGAGCUGUGAGAAAUCUAAUAUGGUUGAAAAAAGCCUUGAAAAUUUCAAGUAUGAACUUCAAGAGAUACUUGUUAGCUACUCUUGCCGGAUUUUUCUUGGUUGUUUUGACGCAAUAUAUCAACAAAGGUACAAGAGGCAAUUAGACUACAAGAUCUUUGGAGUGGUUGAACUUGAGCAGCUACUAGCGAAGGUGAAAGAUGUAGUGAUUGUGCAAGAGGAGCCCGUUAGUAAGAGGAAGUUUCUGGCUGCUGUUGGUGCCUAGAAGUGUUUAUCGUUUAUUUAUUGACUAUUUACUAUCUUAACUUCCUCGGGACUUAUGCUGAGCUUAAGCCUUGUCGCAUUGGAGGGAUGUUGAAGUUAGAGAAGGCCCUGUCUCCUUGCAAAAGCUCCCACAAUGGUGUCAAUUAUGGCAGUACAGUCUUGCAAUAGUCGAAUCAUUUUUGUCACUUCUUUCAAUUUGUUUAUGGUUUGUGUACCAAUUUGAAGCGCUCCUGCAGAAGUCUGAUGGCAAAGAUAAUAAACUUCUGAUUGGAUAAUAAGAGAUAAAGGAUAUGGUCCCAGGUGAUUGGUAGCCUUAUUUUACUGUUAUCCGAAAUGAACUUUAAGUGCAAGUUGGGCAGCCAUAAAGGAUUGAAUCUGGCGUGUGAACAUCUAAGUUGGUGGAGAUAUGCACAACAAGCAUGGCUAUGAAAAGACUUAGUUGGGUCUCAGCAGCAAUAGCAUAUGGUCGUAGGGUACAUAUGAUCAUGUCAUAUACAGUAACUUGAACAAUCGGUCAAGGACUUGAGUCAUAUAAACAUGCGCUUUGAUGUUGCUCCUUGAGGUGUAAAGUUUGUCAUGAAACUCCAACUGUUUUCAUCCUUUGGAUUGUUUCAUUCCCUGCAGAAAAUGGUGGCAAUAGUUUAAUCACAUACUUUGGAUAAUUAAGCUAGAUGAGGGGUAGGAGCACUUGCUCCAUGUAACAGAUGCUUUUACCACAUGCAGAAGCAUCACAGAAGAGGGUUCUGAAUUCCCAAAGGUUCUGUUUUUUCAAGGGAUAUUGUCCAACAGCUUCUGUUGCUGUUUGUUAAUGUUAAGCUUGGAGCUAUUUGUUUGCUUCUGCGUGGAACAUUUGUUCUGUAAGGCAGAUUAUGCUGUAUAAUUGACUGGAAGGAUUGCUGUACAUCUCUUGCAGAUGUUCAUUUGUCAGCAAAUUGUCAUAUGGUCUGUAUUUCUUGAAUAUUAAUUAAAUUGGUUUCUUGA